AGCGAACGUUAGCGGCAGGCCUAACACAUGCAAGUCGCACGAGAAUCCGGCUUCGGCCGGUAGUAAAGUGGCGGACGGGUGAGUAACACGUGGAUAAUCUGCCCUUCGGCGGGGGACAACAGUCCGAAAGGAUUGCUAAUACCGCAUACGUCAGCGAGGUCUUCGGACCUUGUUGGGAAAGAUGGCCUCUUCAUGAAAGCUAUCACCGCAGGAUGAGUACGCGGCCCGUCAGCUAGUUGGCGGGGUAAUGGCCCACCAAGGCUAAGACGGGUAGCUGGUCUGAGAGGAUGAGCAACCACACUGGGACUAGGACACGGUCCAGACCCCUACGGGAGGCAACAGUGGGGAAUAUUGGUCAAUGGGCGCAAUCCUGACCCAGCCAUGCAGCGUGAGUGAUGAAAGCCUUCGGGUCGUAAAGCUCUGUGGGGAGGGAAGAAACCGGACGUGGAUAACACCCACGGCUCUUGACGGUACCUCCUUAGCAAGCACCGGCUAACUCCGUGCCAGCAGCCGCCGUAACAU
rnacentral:rRNA from 1 species